AGAGUUUGAUCCUGGCUCAGGAUGAACGCUGGCGGCGUGCCUAACACAUGCAAGUCGAACGGGGCGUAUGCAGCGGAAGCUUUCGGGCGGAAGCAGCAUACAGCCUAGUGGCGGACGGGUGAGUAACGCGUGGGUAACCUGCCCUGUACAGGGGGACAACAGCUGGAAACGGCUGCUAAUACCGCAUAAGCCCGCGGUGCCGCAUGGCGCUGCGGGGAAAACUCCGGUGGUACAGGAUGGGCCCGCGUCUGAUUAGCUAGUUGGCGGGGUAACGGCCCACCAAGGCAGCGAUCAGUAGCCGGCUUGAGAGAGUGGACGGCCACAUUGGGACUGAGACACGGCCCAGACUCCUACGGGAGGCAGCAGUGGGGAAUAUUGCACAAUGGGGGGAACCCUGAUGCAGCAACGCCGCGUGGGUGAAGAAGUAUUUCGGUAUGUAAAGCCCUAUCAGCAGGGAAGAAAGUGACGGUACCUGACUAAGAAGCUCCGGCUAAAUACGUG
rnacentral:rRNA from 1 species